AGGUGAGGUGUUUGGGGAAGGACAUGCCCCAAGCUCUUUGGGUCACUGCUUCCAUUGCAUGACUGAACCAUCAGAAGGCCUCCUUCAAGCCUAGCACUUGUCCUCAGUGUGUUCAAAGUGAAGGUUUCCCCAGUUUGUAGCAGUUUUAGGCCUUUACUGGAGAUACAUGUUAAAAAAUCUGCCAAUAUACUUAAGGGCUUCUUAAUCAUUUCAACUCUGCUGUGGAUUACAAGUUUUCAGCCUCUUCUCACCUGACUGUUUGGAUAGCUGCAGUAAUGUCUGAUGCUGCUUUUCCACACUGAUCCACAUAAUCCAGGAGUUCCAGCAUAAGCAAGAGUGUGUGCACUUGCCUAAAAGUGUCUGAACAAACUGACCAAGGAGUACUAUGAUACAACUCCCAUUCAAAGCAGGCGUUCGCCUGUCUGGAUUUUUUUUUUCCUUAAAUGUGGGGCCUGGCCUGGCGGCCUCUGUGGUCGCCAGCCCCUGGCUCCUCCUGCUGGACCCUAUGCAGCCAUGAUGUGUCCCUGGUGUUGGUGUUCAGCGGGGACCGGGGCUGUCUGCACCCAUCCUGCUCCCAGUGCCACGAGAAGCUUCGGACGAGCUGUUGUGGCAUGGAGGGGCUGUGCUCCCUGCGCCUGGGCGAGAUGCUGCGGGAACAGUAGCUGGAGGGGCUCCGCCACCGCUGCUGCUGCCGCCACCCCGGCCCUGCGUUGCGUUGGGCCCUCCCCCGGGGCCGGCGAGCCCGAGGCGUCCCGCAUGGAGCGCGGCACCAGCCUCACGAUGGCUAGGAUGGGCCGCCAGCAGAGCGGGCAGGUGGCUCUGUGGGCAGCCCACGGCUGGAUGCACUCCGUGCAGAAGGAGUGCCCGCAGGGGUCCAGCCGAGCUGCAUCAGCCAGCAGGCCCAGGCAGAUGGUGCACGACUCUUCUCUGGGCGCCUCCACUUGCAGCUCCUGGCGUGGCUGGCUCAUGGUGCCUGCCUCUGUCCUGGUGGGGAGAUGCUUGUCCUCUGCGGGACGCUGCUCUGAUGACAAGCAGGUAUCAAGCACCUCCGGUCCUCAGCACCUCCCUCGCGGGUCGCUGGCAGAAUCUCAGAGAGCCGCAGCCCUCCAGCAGUACCUUGAUACCUUACGCUCCACCAGGAAGACCUUGAUGCCUUGCCUGCAACCAGAGGGAUCUCAACAUCUUACGUGCCACCAGAAGGACGUUGACAUUUCGUGUUCCACCAGAAGGACCGGGGUACCUCACCUGUCGCCAGAAGGACCUCGCGUCUCUUGUGUCACAGGAAGGACCUUGACGUCUCGUGUGCCACCAGAAUGACCGCGACGUCGUGCCUUCCACUAGCAACACCUCCAACUCUCACGCUCCAGCAGUAGGAUCUCGACCUCUCGAGUGCCACCAGCUGGACUGGACACAGGCUGGAUGCUCAGGGCACUUAUGGCCAGCUGCCUUUUGUGAGGCCGUAGGGUGACAGUGACUCUCUGGUGACAUCACAAGGCUCUUGGGGUGCCCCUGGUGGCAGCAUUUAAGGAAUUAACCUGACUUUUGUGAAAAAGUGCUGACGUGAAAUGGCUGCUCCACGCUGACAGGAGCGAUGUCUGCCAGGCUGGGGUCCAGGCUGGGAGCUCGGCCUUCGGCCUGGGAACUGUGCCUGGGAGCCAGGGAUGUCCUUGAUGUGCAGCUGGACACCUGAGCAUGGGAGAUGCCCUGAAGAGACCAUCAAGGAGGACACAACAAGAAACUGGGGAACAACUUACCACCUGGGAAGGUGAAAAAGAGCCUGCGCAUGAGGAGAUUGGCCCAAGAAAGUGGGAACAUGCAUGAGAAAUCAAGAGCUGUUUAAAGAAUGUCAGGAGCAUCAGCCCUCUGGGGUACCAGCCACUCCUCCGUAAUACCAAUGCUUACAAAGUUAUAUGCAAGCAAAAUCAUGCUCCCGAAAUCUUUGAAAUUCAGAGAAAGGGAAAAUGGUCUUUCAUUGCAUUUUUUUCCUUUGAGAUCUUAUUUUCUUCAGCUUGUCUGUGAUGCAGUGUUACUUGUGCUUCUUCUAAAGAGAAUCAGCUUCAUUGUAAGGGCUGUGACUGAGUACUUUCAUAUCCACCUUCCUCAGAGCAUGCAGUAAAACUAGAACAUGCAUUAUCUGUGACCAGUUGUAACAUCUCUAUUUCUGAAACAGCUUUUGACUUGAGCCUCCAUCCAAAUAUUUGUUGAUUGAAGAGCCUUCUUGCAUGACCUAUGACUGACCAAGCAUGAACAGUAAGUAAUACAUCAGAUCAGCUUAAUGCACUGAAAACAAUGGUAUGGUCUAAGAAUAAUGUAAUAAGGGCAUGGAGAAAGAAAUGUUUUCUUUUGCUACUGAAAAUGAAUUGUCUUCCAAUAAUGUCAGUAUGAGAGUGAACAGAAGCUGAAAAGAAAGCAAAGAGAGCAGCAGUGAGUAAAGCUGCUGUAAAAAAAAAGCUAAGCAAAAAUUCUAUUAUACAAAAAUUACAUUAUACUUUUAUUACAUUAAAAUUACAUUAUAGUUCCAUUAUUUAAGUGCUUAUGAUACACAAAUUUUAAAUAUUAUAAAUAUUAUACAUACUAUAUAUAAAACACAUACUCAAGCAGAUGAUGGAUUUUGUUAUUCAUGAUCACUGAACUGUGUCUUGCCUUGGGUUGUCCUCACCAAAUCUGAUCCUGAUCCUGACCUGUGGAUUUACUUCCUGGCUUGACCUCAGACUUGCUGUAUCACCAAGAACUUGCCCGAUGAUAUGGAUCCUUUGCUGAGCUUUACUGCCAUCUCUGAUCUGCCAUGGUCAACUUGCUUCGACACUGUGGGGUCUGGGCCCUGGCUGAGGACACCCCUCCCCUUCCACCCUUGUUGUUAUGUUCAGCACCAAUCUCCCCAUGCUUUAUGGAGCUGCUACCCUCAACUGUACCAUAAAAAAUGUCCCCAAAGCACAGUUACCACUGUUGCUUUUCCAGAUGACUCUGUUCAGAUUACAGCAAAGCUUAAAAUAUUUAUAUUUCAGAGGCCCUUUAAGAGGAUGUGAUAUCAAUUUCUUCUCUGUCUAUUGUACUGUAGAGACUUUACUUACUGUGGUAUAUUUACAUGUUUGGUUAUGUAUGUAGCAUUUUUGGUACUCUGUGACAAAUUUACCCUGAGAAUAGAUCAAAAUGACCAAAAUCAGAUCCAAAGUGACAUCUGAAUUCAGCUCCCCAGAAUGUAUUAUGCUCCAGUUAUGCUCUCAACCACAGGUUGAGAUCCGAACUGGAAGCUACUACUGGCAUCUGAUCUCAAAGGACAUACAUACAUAUGUGCGCAUGCAUCAUACAAUGCAGCACCAUGCAGAAUACUUCUGCCUUCUUAGUAGUUCUUUUGGAGCUAAAACCAAUGCAUCCCAACUCUCAGACCGGGAACCUAUCUAGGAGACACUAAAAUAGCAAAUCUGUUCCCUGAAGUGUUUUUGUGUAGGCUUAAUGUAUCAGCUCAAUGGAGUUAGCUCAGCUCUUUAGCAGAGGUUGUGUUGUGCAGACUUGAAAUCGUAACUCUCCCCUUUUACCACGGGAUGUACAUGUCAGAUUAGUAUGUCAUCGUGAAGAUCUCUCUAGACAGAUAUCUUGAGGCAUGUGUUUACCAAAGAUAGUCACAGCGAGGACUUGCUUGCUGAGGUGUGUGUUCUUUACUAACAGAUCUGCCGUAGAGAUUUGCAUGUGAAUGACAACUUCCUGCAUUGAUGAGUAGCCACCGUAGAUACUCACAGAAAUGAAAAAUUUCAUUCAUUUCUCCCAAAGAAUGUAGACACAUUUCAUCUAGACACAAUUUCAUCUUUCUUUAGGUUAAAAGUUAGAUCUGUUAAUGGUAAAAGAUUUCCAAAACCUCCUGCAAGAAAGGGAAGUUAAAUAGUUAAACCAGAGGCCAGAGCAAAACAAAAUCCAGAUUAACAGUGUCUUUAGGAAUGACUGAAAGAAUAGAGAUCUUCUCAAGUUUUAUUAGAUCCAAAACAAACUGCAUACAGUUUGUAAAAGAGAAAGAGAGAGAGAGAAAGAGAGAGAGAGAGAGGGAGAAAGAGAGAGAGAGAGAGAGAGAGAGAGAGAGAGAGAGAGAGAGAGAGAGAGAGAGAGAGAGAGAGAGAGAGAGAGAGA